ensembl:lncRNA
UGGAAACUGAUAAUUAUGAUCUUAUUUAUUUUAAAUGACUGGUUAAAGCUGCAUUAUAACUUAUCAAUUAGAUGUACGGACAUUACGCUAACACCAAGAGCAGGCAUCCAUACACCAGGUCAGAAUCCUAAGUGCAUUUAGUGAAAGAGUGAGAUAAAUGUGAUACAAGCACUUACAAAGACCUGCCAAAAUGCAGGCUAAGGAUAGGAACAAUGAAGCAAAAAAAUCCAUUGUCCAUACUAAUGUGACAAUUGUAGUUUGUGAUACAAAACCAGCUGAAGGCUGUGUUGUUAAAGGAUAGCUGCCUGUAGCAAGCUGGAAGGUUUGAAGAUGAAAUGGACAUCAAGCUAUGGCAUUAAUGGACUGCAAUGCUACAGAUGGCAGCAGAAGGGCAGUCUGACAUAACAGUGUCUGACACCAAAGUGUGGGUGAAGCAGAGAUGUCACUGAAUUCCUCCAUGUUGAAUGUUUAUGGAGACCAAUCAGAGGAUUUUAGCACAGUAAGUCACCAGAAAUGAAGUUCCUUUGGCUGGAAUUCAGCAGCUCCCUUUGUCAUCGUUGACCAUGAAUGGAUGAACUUCAUGUAGAUGAUGCCCAUUUCCCAUCUUUGAAUCAAACAUUAAUACCAUUUGACAGUAAUAAAUAACAUUUAUCACAAUAGGGAUCUACUAAUGAUUUUCCCACUAAGCUGGCUCAUCAGAACCUAUCAGCUGACAACUGCAUAAAUGAGAUUAGCAUAACAGCUGCCUAUGACAAAUGUAUCUAAAUCAUUUUAAUGCCAGCUAGCUCUUUGAUCUCCCUAUCACGUUGUUGCCAAAACUAAAUCCAUUUCUUCAAGAUACAUGUUGUUUAUUACAGAUACAUGUGUAUAUUCCACACCAUUAUGUACUCCAGAGAUUUCAGUAAUUAAAAGAAUUAAAAAUACUGAUUGGAUACUGCCACUAUAAUGUAAACUUGCAACUCUGCACUUCAGAACAGCAUUCCACUGCCUACUUAGUCCCCUCCUCCUUCUCCAGAUUGCAGAAUUCAGUGUUUAAUAGCUGCAUGUUUCUCUGACACAAAAUACAUGUUUUAACGUAAAUACAUGUAUUAACUUCUCUUUCUGAGUAUCCCUUACAGCGGCAUCAUUUUCAUACAAUUUAGACUAAUUCCCAGUAAUAUAGGAGUUGGCUCCAGGCAAAUAUUGAAGCAACGAGUCAUUGCGUGUGUUUGUAUGAAUGCAAGACUGACAAAGAAAAUCUCACUGGUAGUGCAGCAUUCAUGUUGUGACUGUUAUUAAAGGGUUGCCUAUGAGAUUGUCAUACAAUCUCAUGACAACAGACUUCAGACAGACCAAUGACAAUAGCACUUCCAUAACCACACUUCUAAAAGCAUCUCACUAACUUCCAAACACUGCUCAGCAGAAAGCCAGUGGGUUCCCCAUUAUCUAAACUCAGAUUAUUAGACUUCUUUAGGGCCUUGAAGAUACAGAUGGCUUCCCUGAUGUCAAACACACACAAGAAAAGAUGUGUUUUGGUACUAUAGAGAAUCUGUCAGAUUCAC